GGACAGCCUGUAUAUAUUUAUACACACAACGCGCACUAUGUACUACGUGCACACCGCGUAUUGUAAAGUACGCCGAUACGCGUUUAUAUAGGUAUUAUUAUGGUCGUCGACCGUUUUUCGACCGCGAAAACCGAAAAGGCAUCCGUCGUCCCUUUUCCCGACGACGUUUUCCCGCGUGCGCAGCCGCUAUAAUACCGUAUUAUUAUUAAUGCCUACGACGAACAAAGGUGAGUCGCAUCGGGCCGUAUAUUUUUCCCGAGCGCGUGUGUUUCGAUGACGUUUGGCGGCAACACCGCUGUUUGUGUAGUUCUAUCAAAGUACUGACAGUGAAAUCGAACGUGGUCGAAAACCCUAUCGGUCUUGUUAGUUAUAACCAUCAUGACGGCUACUACUCGUAUGCAGUCACGUCGUCCAAAAUUUAAAUUUGCGUAGCGAUCCGAUUUUUUAAAUUUUAAACCAGUACACAUUCACGGUGAGGCGCGUGAACGUGUACGGCGAAAUCCUCGCAGGAAACUGAGAAAGGCGAUAAGGGACCGACGACCAGCCGGAAACUGUCAAAAGGAAUAAUUGCGCUUCGCCGCGACAAAACUAUUACACACUCGGCAAACGUUGCGAAGGGACUUCUCCGAAAAUUCAAGUGGAAAGUUUGGGAACACCCUCCACUGCAGUACUGAUUUAUCGCCCUGUGAUUUUCAUGUGUUUGGAACCAUGGAAAAUAAUUACAAGCGAACGAGGGAUACCACUCAGAUGAAGAAGUAAAAGAUGCCGUUAGCGACUGGUGUUCAUAAACUGGACGGGAAUUUUUCGAACAAGACAUUGCCAAAGUCGUUCAGAGAUACGAAAAAUGUAAAAACUCGAUUGGUGAUUAUGUCGAAAACUAGUUUAAAAUAAGCAUUUUUUAAUAAAAUGAUUUAUUUUUAAAACAUUUUAGUACUUUUUGAUUUAUGACUCGGUGCAACUUACUUUUUGAUUGCCCUAACGUAAUACCUACAAAUGCGUCGUUUCAGUUUUCUAAUAGGGAUGUAAACAUUUGAAUCCGGUCAAUUUUUCUGAAAAUUGUUCGCUAGCUUACACACAUAUUCCUUCUAUAAAUUUAAAUAUUAAAAUACUCAAUUUUUCGACAUUAUAAUAACAUUUAUAUACUAAACCGAGAUGACAGUUUCGACGCGAAUUGUUGUCUUGCUGAAAUGCCUGUUUAUUUAGCCGUGAUAACAAUUAUUAACAAUUGACAAUAUUAUUAACCUUUGUGAAAAUUUCCUUAGGUCUUAUUCUCACAUCAAAGACAGUCGAACUCCAAUCGAGGUGGUCGUUGAAAGUGGUAAUCGAUUAUAUUUUACAUUUUUAUCAACAACGGCCCGAUUACAACAUUUUACGCGAGGCGGAAGAACAUUUAAAAUUAUGUGGCUGCCAAAGUAUAUAGCCGGAAUCCCUCAAAUGACAGACCAAAUUACCUUUUAUUAUUAUUAUACCCGUCGGUAUUGGUCGCGCUCGAUAUUCCGGCGGUCGUCUAAAUGCAAAAGGUUAUUUUUGUUAUUUUUACCAUUCCAUACACGAACCGGACGAAUAACGUAACGCGUCGUUGUUACUUAUGUAACUGUGUUCUUAUAGACUUCGGCUGCACACCACCGCUGCACGUACUUACCGACCUACCGUGUCGGCGCUCGGAAAGUUACUUUUGUAGAAGGCGUGUGUGAGUGUCGGCGCUCGGAUGGGAAAACAAAACAAGGGCGAAUACGGAACAUUUAAAAAAAAAAAAAAAAAGUAGCGUCCGUCAAUUGAUUUCGACCUGAGCGGCGGGAAGCUUUGCCUUCCACAUACCCCUUAAACUUUCGACGCAAUUAGUAGAAUACAAACAUUUUAGACAAACGGUCAUUAUUAAUGAUACGGUUACAUAGUAAUAUCAGGUAGUUACACGAGUUACUGUAUGCCUCAAACGAUCGGAAGCGCUCGGCUGA
rnacentral:lncRNA from 1 species